rnacentral:rRNA from 1 species
UACGGAGGGUGCAAGCAUUAAUCGGAUUUAUUGGGCGUAAAGGGCGCGUAGGCGGAAUUGUAAGUUAGAUGUGAAAUCCCAGGGCUCAACCCUGGAACUGCAUUUAAAACUACAAAUCUAGAGGGUAGGCGGAGGAAACGGAAUUCCACAUGUAGCGGUGAAAUGCGUAGAUAUGUGGAAGAACACCAGUGGCGAAGGCGGUUUUCUAGCAUACACCUGACGCUGAGGCGCGAAAGCAAGGGGAGCAAACAGG